CGCUGCUUACAUGCAGUCGACGGCAGCGCGGGAGCAAUCCUGGCGGCGAGUGGCGAACGGGUGAGUAAUACAUCGGAACGUGCCCAAUCGUGGGGGAUAACGCAGCGAAAGCUGUGCUAAUACCGCAUACGAUCUACGGAUGAAAGCAGGGGAUCGCAAGACCUUGCGCGAAUGGAGCGGCCGAUGGCAGAUUAGGUAGUUGGUGAGGUAAAGGCUCACCAAGCCUUCGAUCUGUAGCUGGUCUGAGAGGACGACCAGCCACACUGGGACUGAGACACGGCCCAGACUCCUACGGGAGGCAGCAGUGGGGAAUUUUGGACAAUGGGCGAAAGCCUGAUCCAGCCAUGCCGCGUGCAGGAUGAAGGCCUUCGGGUUGUAAACUGCUUUUGUACGGAACGAAACGGCCUUUUCUAAUAAAGAGGGCUAAUGACGGUACCGUAAGAAUAAGCACCGGCUAACUACGUGCCAGCAGCCGCGGUAAUACGUAGGGUGCAAGCGUUAAUCGGAAUUACUGGGCGUAAAGCGUGCGCAGGCGGUAAUGUAAGACAGUUGUGAAAUCCCCGGGCUCAACCUGGGAACUGCAUCUGUGACUGCAUUGCUGGAGUACGGCAGAGGGGGAUGGAAUUCCGCGUGUAACAGUGAAAUGCGUAGAUAUGCGGAGGAACACCGAUGGCGAAGGCAAUCCCCUGGGCCUGUACUGACGCUCAUGCACGAAAGCGAGGGGAGCAAACAGGAUUAGAUACCCUGGUAGUCCACGCCCUAAACGAUGUCAACUGGUUGUUGGGUCUUCACUGACUCAGUAACGAAGCUAACGCGUGAAGUUGACCGCCUGGGGAGUACGGCCGCAAGG
rnacentral:rRNA from 1 species